rnacentral:rRNA from 1 species
GUGAGUAACACGUGACUAACCUACCUCCGAGUGGGGAAUAACUCCGGGAAACCGGGGCUAAUACCGCAUAACAUCGCGAGAUCAAAGCAGCAAUGCGCUUGGAGAGGGGGUCGCGGCUGAUUAGCUAGUUGGCGGGGUAAUGGCCCACCAAGGCGAAGAUCGGUAUCCGGCCUGAGAGGGCGCACGGACACACUGGAACUGAAACACGGUCCAGACUCCUACGGGAGGCAGCAGUGGGGAAUUUUGCGCAAUGGGGGAAACCCUGACGCAGCAACGCCGCGUGGAGGAUGAAGCCCCUUGGGGCGUAAACUCCUUUCGACCAAGACGAUAAUGACGGUACUGGUGGAAGAAGCACCGGCUAACUCUGUGCCAGCAGCCGCGGUAAUACAGAGGGUGCGAGCGUUGUUCGGAAUUAUUGGGCGUAAAGGGCGCGUAAGCGGCGCAGCAAGUCACUUGUGAAAUCUCCGGGCUUAACCCGGAGCCUGCAGGCGAAACUGCUGUGCUGGAGUAUGGGAGAAGUGCGUGGAAUUCCCGGUGUAACGGUGAAAUGCGUAGAUAUCGGGAGGAACACCUGUGGCGAAAGCGGCGCACUGGACCAUAACUGACGCUGAAGCGCGAAAGCUAGGGG